AAGCGCAUGUCCAACCCACACUAUGUGAACCGUAUAAUGUCUCUGGCAGGCGGGUCUUCUCUCUUGAGUGGAACCAAGGCCAGAGGGGUGUGUGUGCUUCGGCAUUUCCCCCUUCUGAUCAAACCUGCCGUGGGGUUUCGGCCCCAACAUUUUAAACUCUGCGCUGAACCGUCCUAGUCUGAAAAACUAUUACAUAAACUAAUGUGAUAACAACUUUUGACAACGGAUCUCUUGGCUCUCGCAACGAUGAAGAACGCAGCGAAAUGCGAUACGUAAUGUGAAUUGCAGAAUUCCGUGAAUCAUCGAAUCUUUGAACGCAUAUUGCGACCUUCUGGUAUUCCGGGAGGUAUGCCUGUUUGAGAAUCGUGACUCCCUCACCCUCCGAUAUGGGGUGGAUCUGAGUUUUCCCACGGUCUUAAAAAGCUGUUGGGUGACUUUAAAUUUAGGUAGGCCUUGGACGGAACACCCGUUUAGGUGAAAAGGCGUGAUAAAACGUUGUGUGCAAGCAUGACAAGUAUAUCCUCGCUUCAAGUAACCUCGGGAUCAUGUGAUCGCCCAUAGUGCCAGCAUUAAACAUCAGGAAAUGAAGCUCUCUUCCGUAAAACAGAAGGGAAGACUUUGUGUACUGAAUCUCAAAUCAUGCAAGACGACCCGCUGAACUUAAGCAUAUCAUAAACGGGGAGGAAAAA
rnacentral:rRNA from 1 species